rnacentral:pre_miRNA from 1 species
GAGGAGUUAAGAGUUCAUUCGGCUGUCCAGAUGUAUCCAAGUACCCAGUUAUUUGGCAAUAAAUACAUCUGGGCAACUGAUUGAACUUUUCGCUUUUC